CCUACGGGGGGCAGCAGUGAGGAAUAUUGGUCAAUGGUCGGGAGACUGAACCAGCCAAGCCGCGUGAGGGAUGAAGGUACAGAGUAUCGUAAACCUCUUUUGUCAGGGAACAAAGGCGGGGACGUGUCCCCGGAUGAGUGUACCUGAAGAAAAAGCAUCGGCUAACUCCGUGCCAGCAGCCGCGGUAAUACGGAGGAUGCGAGCGUUAUCCGGAUUUAUUGGGUUUAAAGGGUGCGCAGGCGGUCUGUUAAGUCAGCGGUAAAAGCCCGGGGCUCAACCCCGGCCCGCCGUUGAAACUGGCAGUCUCGAGUUGGAGAGAAGUAUGCGGAAGGCGCGGUGUAGCGGUGAAAUGCAUAGAUAUCGCGCAGAACUCCGAUUGCGAAGGCAGCAUGCCGGCUCCACACUGACGCUGAGGCACGAAAGCGUGGGUAUCGAACAGGAUUAGAUACCCUAGUAGUC
rnacentral:rRNA from 1 species